AUUGAACGCUGGCGGCAGGCCUAACACAUGCAAGUCGAACGAGUGGCGGACGGGUGAGUAAUGUCUGGGAAACUGCCCGAUGGAGGGGGAUAACUACUGGAAACGGUAGCUAAUACCGCAUACCAUCGGAUGUGCCCAGAUGGGAUUAGCUGGUAGGUGGGGUAACGGCUCACCUAGGCGACGAUCCCUAGCUGGUCUGAGAGAAUGUCCAACCACGCUGUAACUGAGACACGGUCCAGAAUCCUACGGGAGGCAGCAGUGGGGAAUAUUGCACGAUGGGCGCAAGCCUGAUGCCGCCAUGCCGCGUAUAUGAAGAAGGCAUUCGGGUUGUAAAGUACUUUCAGCGAGGAGGCGUUACUCGCAGAAGAAGCACCGGCUAACUCCGUGCCAGCCGCCGCGGUAAUAC
rnacentral:rRNA from 1 species